GUUGGUGGAGAGUGGCGCACGGGUGAGUAACGCGUGGGGAUUUGCCUUCUGGUACGGGAUAACGUUUGGAAACGAACGCUAAUACCGUAUGAUAUCUACGGAUUAAAGAUUUAUCGCCAGGAGAUGAACCCGCGUAGGAUUAGAUAGUUGGUGGGGUAAUGGCCUACCAAGUCGACGAUCUUUAGCUGGUCUGAGAGGACGAUCAGCCACACUGGAACUGAGACACGGUCCAGACUCCUACGGGAGGCAGCAGUGGGGAAUAUUGGACAAUGGGGGCAACCCUGAUCCAGCCAUGCCGCGUGAGUGAAGAAGGCCUUAGGGUUGUAAAGCUCUUUCGCUAGGGAAGAUAAUGACGGUACCUAGUAAAGAAGUCCCGGCUAACUCCGUGCCAGCAGCCGCGGUAAUACGGAGGGGACUAGCGUUGUUCGGAAUUACUGGGCGUAAAGAGUACGUAGGCGGCUAAUCAAGUUGGGUGUGAAAGCCCGGGGCUCAACCCCGGAACUGCACUCAAAACUGGUUAGCUAGAGAUCGGAAGAGGUAAGUGGAAUUCCCNNUGUACAGGUGAA
rnacentral:rRNA from 1 species